UUAAAAAGUAAGAAGUAAAAUAUUGGCCUUUUUCAUUUUCUUUUAUUUUUAAAAUCUCCCACACAAAACCCGAUCGUUCUCUCUCAAGUUUGUCAUCCACUCCACCCCUUAAGCUCACAAGCUUGACCUCCACACUCUGCUUCGCUACGCCUUGGCCUAUCUUUGGUCCUUCACGCAUUGGCUUCAAUUUGAUCGUUUUCAGUUGGGCAACUGAGGAAUUGCUUCAACCUUUUCACUUUGUUGUUGUCUGAGGCUUCAAGCUCUUGGGUUUUCGUGGGUACUCAGCAGCUGACAUUGGUUGAGCUCUUCUCAAUUCUUGGUGUUUCGGCCAUGGAUGUUCUGAAGCACAACAUUAUACUCUUGAUGAUGUGUUCUUACCCGAAUUCUUUGAAAUCUUCACCCAUUGCAUUCACAAAAUAGUCAUUGACUGAGCAGUGGCUGUCAGCACUAUAUCUGAAAGAAAGUGUUUCUUUCCAUGGAAGUUUGGAGGAGAACCUGCCAAUGAAGCUACUGGCAUAUCCGCAGUGGUCACCAGUCUUUCUCUGAGCCCUUUGCUUCUGUGAGAGUUGCAUGCCAAAGAACAAGUCCA